AUCGUACCCCAAACCGACACAGGUGGUCAGGUAGAGAAUACUCAGGCGCUUGAGAGAACUCGGGUGAAGGAACUAGGCAAAAUGGUGCCGUAACUUCGGGAGAAGGCACGCUGGCACUAGGUGAAGUGGUUUACCCAUGGAGCUGAAGCCAGUCGCAGAUACCAGCUGGCUGCAACUGUUUAUUAAAAACACAGCACUGUGCAAACACGAAAGUGGACGUAUACGGUGUGACGCCUGCCCGGUG
rnacentral:rRNA from 1 species